AUUAUUAAAGUUCUUUUCAUUUUUUGGCAAAUUUGACAAAAUGGAGAGUGGAUAUCAUGCUGAUUAACAUUCUGACAAUUAAUAAUCUAAUAUACUUCACUGUCAUAAAAAGUUGGCAGCUACUUCUUGGAACAUAAGAGGUUUUGUAUAAAAAGUUAAUCUAAGCCAAAGUUCUAGAAGUGGAGCAGUCUCUAUGACAUUGGCAGCCAGCAUUCAGCACUCACGAUGUUGUGGACUACAUCUCCUAUAAUGCUCUUACAGACAUAAUUCUGGAAAACAUAUAUCACAUAUUGUUCACUGUAACAAUGCAUACGGGUUUAUCAGAAACAGGAAGAAUAAAUGAAAGCUGUAUAACCUUCUUUAGUUUCAAAGUGACAUUUAUCGAUCCUAGAAACCAUGCCCACUUUGGACAGUG